GUUCUCCAGCAGCACGUUCCGGGCGGCCAGGUCCCGGUGGAUGUAGUGCAGGGAGUGCAGCCAGGGAAAUCCGCCAGGAGAGGAGAUUGAAGAGUGGAAUUUCAGAUGCAGAGAGGGAAAGGAACAUUCCCAGCUUGCCCAGAAGUCACUGACCUCCCCCAGCUCCCGGAUUUUCUUCAGGUAGCGCUUCUGGAAGACGGUGGGAUCGGACACCGGGCAGUCGGGGUUCACCGACGUGACGUCCACGAGGAUUUUUCCCCGUUCCCUCACGGUGCGGCUGCAGCCGGGUCAGCUCCCUGAGCACGGUGCGGAACGACGGCCGCUCCACCGCG